rnacentral:rRNA from 1 species
UACAGAGGUCUCAAGCGUUGUUCGGAUUCAUUGGGCGUAAAGGGUGCGUAGGCGGCGCGGUAAGUCGGGUGUGAAAUCUCGGAGCUUAACUCCGAAACUGCAUUCGAUACUGCCGUGCUUGAGGACUGGAGAGGGUUCUAGAAUACCUAGUGUAGUGGUGAAAUACGUAGAUAUUAGGUGGAACUCCGGUGGCGAAGGCGGGAACCUGGCCCAACAUUGACACUUAGGCUCGAAAGCGUGGGGAUCAAACAGG